GACGAACGCUGGCGGCGUGCUUAACACAUGCAAGUCGAACGGAAAGGCUCCAGCUUGCUGGAGUACUCGAGUGGCGAACGGGUGAGUAACACGUGGGUGAUCUGCCCUGCACUUCGGGAUAAGCCUGGGAAACUGGGUCUAAUACCGGAUAGGACCGCACUUUGGUGUGUGUGGUGGAAAGGUUUUUUCUGGUGUGGGAUGAGCUCGCGGCCUAUCAGUUUGUUGGUGGGGUAAUGGCCUACCAAGACGGCGACGGGUAGCCGGCCUGAGAGGGUGGACGGUCACAUUGGGACUGAGAUACGGCCCAGACUCCUACGGGAGGCAGCAGUGGGGAAUAUUGCACAAUGGGGGAAACCCUGAUGCAGCGACGCCGCGUGGGGGAUGAAGGCCUUCGGGUUGUAAACUCCUUUCGCUAGGGACGAAGCUUUUUGUGACGGUACCUGGAGAAGAAGCACCGGCUAACUACGUG
rnacentral:rRNA from 1 species